GUUAGGAAUCUUGCGCAAUGGGCGAAAGCCUGACGCAGCCAUGCCGCGUGAAUGAUGAAGGUCUUAGGAUUGUAAAAUUCUUUCACCGGGGACGAUAAUGAUGGUACCCGGAGAAGAAGCUCCGGCUAACUUCGUGCCAGCAGCCGCGGUAAUACGAAGGGGGCUAGCGUUGCUCGGAAUUACUGGGCGUAAAGGGCGCGUAGGUGGACAGCUUAGUCAGAGGUGAAAGCCCAGGGCUCAACCUUGGAAUUGCCUUUGAUACUGGCUGUCUUGAGUUUGGGAGAGGUGAGUGGAACUCCGAGUGUAGAGGUGAAAUUCGUAGAUAUUCGGAAGAACACCAGUGGCGAAGGCGACUCACUGGCCCAAUACUGACGCUGAGGCGCGAAAGCGUGGGGAGCAAACAGGAUUAGAUACCCCGGUAGUCC
rnacentral:rRNA from 1 species